rnacentral:tRNA from 1 species
GUUGACGUGGUUCGGUCAGGUAUUCGCCCGAUCCGGCCGGGCGCCGGAGUCAUGGUACCGGCGCGUUCGACCCGUGCCGCUACCUC